rnacentral:rRNA from 1 species
AUACGGAGGAUCCGAGCGUUAUCCGGAUUUAUUGGGUUUAAAGGGAGCGUAGGCGGACGCUUAAGUCAGUUGUGAAAGUUUGCGGCUCAACCGUAAAAUUGCAGUUGAUACUGGGUGUCUUGAGUACAGUAGAGGCAGGCGGAAUUCGUGGUGUAGCGGUGAAAUGCUUAGAUAUCACGAAGAACUCCGAUUGCGAAGGCAGCUUGCUGGACUGUAACUGACGCUGAUGCUCGAAAGUGUGGGUAUCAAACAGGAUUAGAUACCCUGGUAGUCCACACAGCAAACGAUGAAUACUCGCUGUUUGCGAUAUACAGUAAGCGGCCAAGCGAAGGCGUUAAGUAUUCCACCUGGGGAGUACGCCGGCAACGGUGAAACUCAAAUGAAUUGACGGGG